AACGCUUGCUCCGCGUCACAAGUCACGCUUUCUCUCGAUGCUGCAAUAAAAUCCAAAAAGGUUCGUAUUCAUGUGGUCGCAGAUAUAUCCAAAGAUUUGAGCUAAGCAAAUUCAAAGUGGCUAUUACUAGUGGCAGUACAUUUCCCAGAAGAACUGCAGGGGACGAUGGAAUCUGAUAAACCGAUGCCCCGACACGAAACAUACCAGUAAACUGUUAAACUUGUUUUUUUUUUUUUUUCCCAAACCCAGGAGAGUGAUGGGAAUAAAAAGGAAAAAAAUGAGUUGAGAAACAAAUAUCUUUAGCUUAAUUUAGGUUUAGAAAGCAACAGUUUUUAAUGCAAAUCUGGAGAAGUUAAAAGUGGAUAAAUAGUGGGUGGAAUUGGAAAUUAGAAGGGAUUAAAAAUAGGGGUUUGCUGGUCAGGUGGAACCUCAGCUGCGACGCACGGAGCCUCGGCGUCGUCAGCUGCAUCAGUGACUCAGAGGCAACAGCACCAGCAGCAGCCGCCGCCGCCUCGAAGGCUCCCAUCGUCGGCGGCAUCGGAUAGCAGCGACGGUAACGGUGGCGGCACUGGUAGUGGGAAAAAGAUGAAGGGCUUGUUUAAGUCCAAACCCAAGACCCGGCUGACCUCGUUCGUCAGACUCGGGAUCUUCUCAUCUAUGUCGAUCGCGGCCCCGAUGCCACGCGCGAGACCAAGCGCGAAGAAAAGAUGACGGAAUUAAGCAAGCUUGUCAGAGAAUUGAAGUCAAUUCUUUAUGGAAAUAGUGAAGCUGAGCCUGUAACAGAAGCUUGUGCGCAACUGACCCAGGAGUUCUUCAGAGAGAACACACUACGCCUCUUAAUCAUCUGUCUGCCAAAGUUAAAUUUGGAGACCCGUAAGGAUGUUACUCAAGUUGUUGCAAAUCUGCAGAGGCAGCAGGUCCAGUCACGAUUGAUUGCCUGUGAUUACUUGGAAGCAAACAUAGAUUUGAUGGAUAUUUUGAUAGGCGGGUAAGCAGCUGUUUUAGAGCUUUCGGAACAAUCAGAUAUGGCUUUACACUAUGGUGCUAUGCUUAGAGAAUGUAUACGCCAUCAGACUGUUGCAAGGUAUGUCUUGGAAUCGGAGCAUAUGAAGAAAUUUUUUGAUUAUAUUCAACUUCCAAAUUUCGAUAUUGCUGCUGAUGCUGCUGCAACUUUCAAGGAACUCUUGACAAGGCACAAAUCAACUGUAGCUGAAUUCCUUUCAAAGAAUUACGACUGGUUUUUUGCUGAAUAUAACUCAAAGCUGCUUGAAUCUCCAAACUACAUUACCAGAAGGCAAGCUGUCAAGUUAUUGUUUAAGACAAUUAUUCUUUUGGUGGUCACAGUUGCUGGGGAUAUGCUGCUUGACCGCUCAAAUUCAGCUGUCAUGACUCGAUAUGUUAGCUCAAGAGACAACUUGAGGAUUCUAAUGAAUCUUCUUAGAGAAUCCAGCAAGAGCAUUCAGAUUGAAGCAUUUCAUGUUUUUAAGUUAUUCGCUGCCAAUCAACAUAAGCCCCCAGAUAUCGUUAGCAUCCUUGUGGCAAAUAGAAGCAAACUUCUGCGCCUCUUUGCUGAUUUCAAGUUGGAUAAAGAGGAUGAACAGUUUGAGGCUGACAAAGCCCAAGUUGUCAGAGAAAUUGCUGCGCUAGAGCCGAAAGAGGGCCCAUGAAUGCGGCUUUGUGUAGUUCCAUUAGUUGACAUGGCCAUGUUAUUGUAAUAUCUGUCGGGAGUUAUUUUCUUCCCUCCAUUUUAUUUGCAACGAUAGUUUCUAGUGACAGAAUAUCUGGAAACAUGGACCCCCUUUUCGUAAAGCUUUUCAUUUCUUUUUCUUCUUCUUUAGUUUGCUGGAGGCUUCUAUAUUCCGGAUACAAAGCUGGAAGACGAUACGUUCAGCAAGAGAGAGAGAUGUGAAUACGAAUGUGAAUGGUGCAUGAUAUAUGACAGCGAGGAAUGUACAUGGCUGGUAUUAUUAUAUUAAUAAGAAUGUAAACCUUCAAAGCAUUUUGCAGACUUGUUGGUAUCUUGAGCAUUGUAGAGGAAAAACCUGUGUGCUGCAGCAAAUGAAUAUGGUUAAGAAGCUGUAGUGUUCUGUUCUGAA